ACGGGAGGCAGCAGUGGGGAAUAUUGCACAAUGGGCGCAAGCCUGAUGCGGCGAUGCCGCGUGAGGGAAGAAGGUUUUCGGUUUGUAAACCUCUGUCAUCGGGGACGAUAAUGACUGUACCCGAGAAGGAAGCUCCGGCUAACUACGUGCCAGCAGCCGCGGUACUACGUAGGGAGCGAGCGUUAUCCGGACUUACUGGGUGUAAAGGGAGUGUAGGCGGGACUGUAAGUCAGAUGUGAAAUAUGCCGGCUCAACUGGCAGACUGCAUUUGAAACUGCGGUUCUUGAGUGAAGUAGAGGGAAGCGGAAUUCCUAGUGUAGCGGUGAAAUGCGUAGAUACUAGGAGGAACAUCAGUGGCGAAGGCGGCUUACUGGGCUUUAACCGACGCUGAGGCUCGAAAGCGUGGGGAGCAAACAGGAUUAGAUACCCUGGUA
rnacentral:rRNA from 1 species